AUAGUAAGGGCGUAUGGUGAAUGCCUUGGAAAAUGGAGCCGAUGAAGGACGUGACUACCUGCGAAAAGCGCCGGGGAGCUGGAAGUAAGCUUUGAUCCGACGAUGUCCGAAUGGGGAAACCCAGCACGAUUAAUCUCGUGUUAUCCAUAACUGAAUACAUAGGUUAUGUGAAGGGAACCUUGGGAACUGAAACAUCUUAGUACCAAGAGGAAAAGAAAACGAAUGUGAUUCUGUCAGUAGCGGCGAGCGAAAGCGGAACAGGCCAAACCGGUCUACGGGCCGGGGUUGUAGGACUCUUGUUAGAGUUACAAAAUUAGUGUAUAGCAGAAGCUGUUGGGAAGCAGCACCGCAGAGGGUGAUAGUCCCGUAUGCGAAAUGCACUAAUCUCGAGAGAGUAUCCUGAGUACGGCGGGGCACGAGAAACCCUGUCGGAAUCUACCCAGACCACUGGGUAAGCCUAAAU
rnacentral:rRNA from 1 species